rnacentral:rRNA from 1 species
CUAUGCGCCUUGCCAGCCCGCUCAGGUGUGCCAGCAGCCGCGGUAAUACAGAGGUCUCAAGCGUUGUUCGGAAUCACUGGGCGUAAAGCGUGCGUAGGCGGUUUCGUAAGUCGUGUGUGAAAGGCGGGGGCUCAACCCCCCGGACUGCACAUGAUACUGCGAGACUAGAGUAAUGGAGGGGGAACCGGAAUUCUCGGUGUAGCAGUGAAAUGCGUAGAUAUCGAGAGGAACACUCGUGGCGAAGGCGGGUUCCUGGACAUUAACUGACGCUGAGGCACGAAGGCCAGGGGAGCGAAAGGG